UGUCUGUCUGUCUCUCUCUCUCUCUCUCACCUGCAGGUGCCUCAGGGCAGCAGAGCUCAGACCCUAACCUGCCCUCUGCCAGCCACGCAGCCAGUCUCCUUCCAGCGGGCGCAGCAGGGAGGCCACCCUGGGCUUCUCGCCACCAGGUGGGCAGCAGAGCCAUGCUGGGUCCCCUCGCCGUCCUGUGCGCCCUCCUGCUUCCUGGUGGCGUGGCAGCGCUCAGCAUGGAGCAGCCGGCUGUGGUCGUGGGGCGCCGGGGCAGCUCGGCCACCGUGUCCUGCACAGCCAGCACCUCGGUCAGCUACAUCCACUGGUACCUCCACCAGGAAGGGAGUGCCCCCAAGAGGAUCCUCAUGCUCGAUAUGUCCAGGUUCUAUGUGCAGAGAUAUGGAGGCUUCAGAGCGGACAAAAUCACCGCCAAGAAAGGCAAGGAUAGCUACAGCUGUGACCUGAUGCUGCUGAAGCUGGAGAAGAGUGACGAAGGCGUGUAUUACUGCGCUGCCUGGGAGAGCAGUGGGUGGGGUAGCUGGGCCCACAAAGUAUUUGGUCCUGGCACGCUGCUCAGGGUCACAGAUAAAAAUCCUAAUGAAGACACUCCCCUCAAACCAACAAUUUUUCUUCCUUCAAUUGCUGAAGUAAAACUUCAUAACACUGGAACGUAUCUUUGUCUUCUUGAGGAUUUUUUCCCUGAUGUUAUCGAGAUAGAUUGGAAAGAAAAAAAUGGCAAAACAGUUCUGCAAUCCCAGCAGGGAAACACCAUGAAGAUGAAGGACACAUACAUGAAAUACACCUGGCUGACUGUGCGUGAAGAGUCAAUGGAUAAAGAACACAAAUGUAUCGUCAAACGUGAGAAGAAUAAAGGAACCAUUGAACAAGAGAUUCUUUUUCCAUCCAUAAACACAAGUUUGGCGGAGGCGAAACAAUCCGAAGUGGAUCCCGAGGGGCGUUCAGACACAAGGCGAAACACUGGGGUGGUAACUGUGAGCCCUGUGGGUUCUCUGUCGUCCUCACCGGUGUCCUGGGCUGCGGACUUUGCUGCUAUUAACUACACAAAAGCUUCUCUGGAAGAUGAAAAUGACCCCCUGCAGCUGCAGCUCACGAGCACCUCUGCCUACUACACCUACCUCCUCCUCCUGGCCAAGAGCGUGGUCUACACCAUCCUCAUCGCCAUUGCUCUGCUUGGGAGAGCAGCGCUGCGAGACAGCGGGAAGAGUUCCUAACUCAUGGGGCACCAAGGGUCCACUUUUCUUCAUCAACUAUUGUCACUAAAAGUGUCUGCUGAGGAUCGAGCGGGGCUUCCUUUCUGGGUUUGGGGCAUUUCAGUUCACGGGUGUCUGCUUCUAUUGUGUCACUAUUGCAGAGCGGGUUCACACACCCCUGGGCAAACGGGAAAGGUCACUCUGCACCAAGAACAGAGUCUGCCGUGACUCAGGGUGGGGGGCAUCCACGGGGUUUCAGCACCACUCUCUCCUCACUGUCCACCAGCUCCUCAGCCACCUGGCACCAGGAACUCUGAGCACAGCCAGUGGGCAGCUUCCCUAGCAUCCCCUGGGGCUUUUUAUCCAGAUACCUGCCUAGGGGCCUUUAUUUUACAUUUCUGGAAGCUGCCAUCUUUCCUACCUGAAUGUUGUACUGUUUGUAACAACAGGCACAAUAAAAACAAUCAAAAACCUA